AACGAACGCUGGCGGCAUGCCUAACACAUGCAAGUCGAACGAGACCUUCGGGCCUUUGGGCGCACGGGCGCGGAAGGCGGGGGAACCAGCCCUUAGGUACGGAAUACCUCCCCGAAAGGUGUGCUAAUGCCGGAUAGUGUCUUCGCGCCAAAGAUUUAUUGCCAUUGGAUGGGCGCGCGUUGGCUUAGCUUGUUGGUAGGGUAAUAGCAUACCAAGGGGACGAUGCAUAGCUGGUCUGUGAGGAGGACCAGCCACACUGGAGCUAAGACACGGCCCAGAAUCCUACGCAAGGGAGGAGUGGGGAAUAUUGUACGAUGGAGGAAGGCCUGAUCCCGCAAUGCCGGGUAAGUCAUGCAGGCCUUAGUGUACUACUGUCCUUUUACCCGGGACGAUAAUGACGGUACCGGGUGAAUAAGCACCGGCUAACUACGUG
rnacentral:rRNA from 1 species